rnacentral:misc_RNA from 1 species
GUGAAUCAUCAAAUCUUUGAGCGCAAAUUGCACUCUCCGGUUUUCCGGGAGAGUAUGCCUGUUUGAGGGUCAGCCUAAAUAAAAUCGGCUUAGUAGUUUGCUGUGUUUUUCACGGUAACGUUGGUCGGAAUUUGGGUCAUCUUAAACCGAAAGGUUUUUAAGCGACUUAAAAUUUUCUUACGUUCUGGGAAACGUUUUUAAAUUUUCUUUGCCGGUUAA